AGAGAUAUAGCUCAGUUGGUAGAGUGCUUGCCUCACAUGCACCUGGGUUCAAUCCCCAGGACCACAA
rnacentral:tRNA from 1 species